AUUGAACGCUGGCGGCAGGCUUAACACAUGCAAGUCGAACGGUAACAUAGAAAAUCGUGCUUCUUUGAUGACUAGUGGCGGACGGGUGACUAAUGCUUGAGAAUCUAGCUUAUGGGGGGGGAUAACUGCAGGAAACUGUAACUAAUACCGCGUAGUAUCUAGAGAUGAAAGUGUGGGACCUUCGGGCCACUUGCCAUAUGAUGAACCCAACUGGGAUUAAGUAGUUGGUGAGGUAAAGGCUCACCCAGCCGACGAUCUCUACCUGGUCUAACAGGAUGACCAACCACACUGGGACUGACACACAGCCCACACUCCUACCGGAGGCAGGAGUGGGGAAUAUUGCUCAAUGGGGGCAACCCUGACUCACCCAUGCCCCGUGAAUGAAUAAAGACUGCUGGUUGAUAAGUUCUUUCUGUAGCAAGAAAAGAAUUUAUGUUAAUAAGCUAAGUGAUUGACGUUAACUACUCAAAAAGCACCGGCUAAGUCCGUGCCAUCACCCCCGGUAAUACAGAAGGUGCGAGCGUAACUCUGAAUAACUGGACGGAAAGGGCACCCAGGCGGUGACUUAAGUGAGGUGUGAAAGCCCCGGGCUUAACCUGGGAAUUGCAUUUCAUACUGGGUCGCUAGAGUACUUUAGGGAGGGGGAGAAUUCCACGUGUAGCGGUGAAAUGCGUAGAGAUGUGGAGGCAUACCGAAGGCAAAGGCACCCCCUUGGGAAUGUACUGACGCUCAUGUGCAAAAGCGUGGGGAGCAAACAGGAUUAGAUACCCUGGUAGUCCACGCUGUAAACAAUGUCGAUUUGGGGGUUAAACUUUAAGUUUGGCGCCCGUAGCUAACGUGAUAAAUCCACCGCCUGGGGAGUACGGCCGCAAGGUUAAAACUCAAAUGAAUUGACGGGGGCCCGCACAAGCGGUGGAGCAUGUGGUUUAAUUCUAUGCAACGCGAAGAACCUUACCUACUCUUGACAUCCCGUGAACAUUCCAGAGAUGGAUUGGUGCCUUCGGGAACUCUAAGACACGUGCUGCAUGGCUGUUGUCACCUCUUGUUGUGAAAUGUUGGGUUAAGUCCCGCAACGAGCGCCACCCCUUAUCCUUUGUUGCCAGCGAUUCGGUCGGGCACUCAAAGGAGACUGCCGGUGAUAAACCGGAGGAAGGUGGGGAUGACGUCAAGUCAUCAUGCCCCUUACGAGUAGGGCUACACACGUGCUACAAUGGCGUAUACAGAGGGAAGCGAGAGUGCGAGCUCGAGCGAAUCUCACAAAGUACGUCUAAGUCCGGAUUGGAGUCUGCAACUCGCCUCCAUGAAGUCGGAAUCGCUAGUAAUCGCAAAUCAGAAUGUUGCGGUGAAUACGUUCCCGGGCCU
rnacentral:rRNA from 1 species